CUCUUAUCAAGAGAGGUGGAGGGAGAUGGCCCUGUGAAGCCCGGCAACCAGUUUUACAACAAAGGUGCCAAUUCCAGCAGUAUUUACUGCAAGAUAAGAG
rnacentral:ncRNA from 2 species